rnacentral:rRNA from 1 species
AUUGAACGCUGGCGGCAUGCUUUACACAUGCAAGUCGAACGGUAACAGGCCGCAAGGUGCUGACGAGUGGCGAACGGGUGAGUAAUGCAUCGGAACGUGCCCAGUCGCGGGGGAUAACGCAGCGAAAGCUGCGCUAAUACCGCAUACGAUCUAUGGAUGAAAGCGGGGGACCUGUAAGGGCCUCGCGCGAUUGGAGCGGCCGAUGUCAGAUUAGGUAGUUGGUGGGGUAAAGGCUCACCAAGCCGACGAUCUGUAGCUGGUCUGAGAGGACGACCAGCCACACUGGGACUGAGACACGGCCCAGACUCCUACGGGAGGCAGCAGUGGGGAAUUUUGGACAAUGGGCGCAAGCCUGAUCCAGCAAUGCCGCGUGCAGGAAGAAGGCCUUCGGGUUGUAAACUGCUUUUGUACGGAACGAAACGGCUCUGGUUAAUACCUGGGGCUAAUGACGGUACCGUAAGAAUAAGCACCGGCUAACUACGUGCCAGCAGCCGCCGUAA